GUUUGCAAUAAAGACAUGGACACUACAAAUGUGCUUUAACAAGAUUCUCAGUGAGUAUAUUUUCAGGGUUAGCAUAUAAAGCAAAAAGAGUUUAACUAUUUCAUAUCCUUACAGUCAGCACUAAUGAUUAUAAACCUUAUUUAAGCAUAAAAUACAUAUGAACAAGAAAAGUUAACUACUUCAUAUUCUUGCAUGGUAAUUUCCCAUUCCUAGGACAAAUCUUUCAAACACUUAUUCACACUCACAACCAGACUUAACUAAUGACAAUUAGAGGGUGGACAAGGUGAACCUGAAACUCUGUGCACACUAUCGUAGUAUAUUCACUUAUAUACUAAAUUCUCUGUCUAUAUCACUUUAUAAAUUUCCUUUUAUCUGUCUAAUUCUCUUAUUAGACCUUCUCUAGUUCACUUACUAGAAAUACAUAUAUCUCUCUGUCUAGUUCCCUUACUAGACUAAUUUAACGGGACCUUAUGUAAAACUGAGUCACAUAAAACACAUAUACUAAAUAACCUUUCCUAAAAUGAUGUAGACUUACAAAACCAUGGGGAUCAUAGAUUCAGGGCGUCAAGAUAGACACAAGGAAUUACUACUCACCCAAAAUGGUUUGGCUACAAUCCCACUUCUGACACCAAGCUGAAAGGUAAAUCUGCUAAUCUGGUGACUCGGUCCCUCUGGUCACUAUUCUCCAACCCUCGAUUGUCAGCUGAAUAUUCAGGGAAGAUUUUUAUGGAAGCGUAUUAACCAGACACACACUCUUUGCU